UACGGGGGGGGCAAGCGUUGUUCGGAAUUACUGGGCGUAAAGGGCGCGUAGGCGGUCUAUUAAGUUGGAUGUGAAAACUCUGGGCUUAACCCAGAGCCUGCAUUCAAAACUGAUAGGCUGGAGUUCUGGAGGGGAUAGCGGAAUUCCUGGUGUAGCGGUGAAAUGCGUAGAUAUCAGGAGGAACACCGGUGGCGAAGGCGGCUAUCUGGACAGAAACUGACGCUGAGGCGCGAAAGCUAGGGGAGCAAACAGG
rnacentral:rRNA from 1 species